CCUACGGGAGGCAGCAGUAGGGAAUCUUUCACAAUGGGCGAAAGCCUGAUGGAGCAACGCCGCGUGCAGGAUGAAGGCCUUCGGGUUGUAAACUGCUUUUAUAAGCGAGGAAUCUGAUGGUAACUUAUGAAUAAGGAUCGGCUAACUACGUGCCAGCAGCCGCGGUCAUACGUAGGAUCCGAGCAUUAUCCGGAGUGACUGGGUGUAAAGAGUUGCGUAGGUGGCAUAAUAAGUAGCUAGUGAAAUCUGGUGGCUCAACCAUUCAGACUAUUAGCUAAACUGUUAAGCUCGAGACCGUUAGGGGUAACUGGAAUUUCUAGUGUAGGAGUGAAAUCCGUAGAUAUUAGAAGGAACACCAAUAGCGUAGGCAGGUUGCUGGGACGGUUCUGACACUAAGGCACGAAAGCGUAGGGAGCAAACGGGAUUAGAUACCCCUGUAGUC
rnacentral:rRNA from 1 species